GAUGAACGCUGGCGGCGUGCCUAAUACAUGCAAGUCGAACGGAAGGACGCGGAGCUUGCUUCUCUGAUGUUAGGGGCAGGCGGGUGUAUAACGCGUGGAUCCCCUACCUAUCAGACGGGGAUCACUUCGGAAAACCGUAGCUAAUAGGGGAGGAUCUUUUGAACCGCAUGGUUCGAAGGUGAGAGACGGUGUUGGGGUCACGUCUCGCUGGAUAUGCGCUGCAUUAGCUGGUUGGUAAGGUCACGGCUUACCAAGGCAAGGAUGCAUAGCCGACCGCAGGGGGGGGUCGGCCACACUGGAGCUGGGACACGGUCCAGACUCCUACGGGAGGCAGCAGUAGGGAAUCUUCCGCAGUGGGCGAAAGCCUGACGGAGCAACGCCGCGUGAGUGAUGAAGGUCUUCGGAGCGGAAAACUCUGUUAUGAGGGAAGAACAUAUGUGUAAUUAACUGUGCACAGCUUGACGGUACCGAAUCAGAAAGCCCCGGCUAACUACGUG
rnacentral:rRNA from 1 species